UAGGAUAUGGUGUAAUUAGGUAGCACGAAGAUUUUU
rnacentral:tRNA from 2 species